rfam:Trichobilharzia regenti genome assembly, scaffold: TRE_scaffold0005022
GUGCUGCUGAAGAGUCCCAAACUAGGACGAAACAGCUGUCCAGUAC